rnacentral:rRNA from 1 species
UUUUACAAUGGAGAGUUUGAUCCUGGCUCAGGAUGAACGCUAGCUACAGGCUUAACACAUGCAAGUCGAGGGGAAACGACAUCGAAAGCUUGCUUUUGAUGGGCGUCGACCGGCGCACGGGUGAGUAACGCGUAUCCAACCUGCCCACCACUUGGGGAUAACCUUGCGAAAGUAAGACUAAUACCCAAUGAUAUCUCUAGAAGACAUCUGAAAGAGAUUAAAGAUUUAUCGGUGAUGGAUGGGGAUGCGUCUGAUUAGCUUGUUGGCGGGGUAACGGCCCACCAAGGCAACGAUCAGUAGGGGUUCUGAGAGGAAGGUCCCCCACAUUGGAACUGAGACACGGUCCAAACUCCUACGGGAGGCAGCAGUGAGGAAUAUUGGUCAAUGGACGAGAGUCUGAACCAGCCAAGUAGCGUGCAGGAAGACGGCCCUAUGGGUUGUAAACUGCUUUUAUAAGGGAAUAAAGUUAGUCUCGUGAGACUUUUUGCAUGUACCUUAUGAAUAAGGACCGGCUAAUUCCGUG